GUCCACGCCCUAAACGAUGUCAACUGGUUGUUGGACGGCUUGCUGUUCAGUAACGAAGCUAACGCGUGAAGUUGACCGCCUGGGGAGUACGGCCGCAAGGUUGAAACUCAAAAGGAAUUGACGGGGACCCGCACAAGCGGUGGAUGAUGUGGUUUAAUUCGAUGCAACGCGAAAAACCUUACCUACCCUUGACAUGUCUGGAAUCCCGAAGAGAUUUGGGAGUGCUCGAAAGAGAACCAGAACACAGGUGCUGCAUGGCCGUCGU
rnacentral:rRNA from 1 species